rnacentral:tRNA from 2 species
GCGCUCGUAGCUCAGCUGGUAGAGCACGGCACUUUUAAUGCUGGGGUCUUGGGUUCGAUUCCCAACGAGCGCA